CAGCACCUCAAGUGGUCAGGAUGAUUAUUGGGCCUAAAGCAUCCGUAGCCGGCGCUGUAAGUUUUCGGUUAAAUCUGUACGCUCAACGUACAGGCUGCCGGGAAUACUGCAGCGCUAGGGAGUGGGAGAGGUAGACGGUACUCGGUAGGAAGGCGUAAAAUCCUUUGAUCUAUUGAUGACCACCUGUGGCGAAGGCGGCCUACCAGAACACGUCCGACGGUGAGGGAUGAAAGCUGGGGGAGCAAACCGGAUUAGAUACCCGAGUAGUCC
rnacentral:rRNA from 1 species